UAGAGUUUGAUCCUGGCUCAGAUUGAACGCUGGCGGCAUGCUUUACACAUGCAAGUCGAACGGCAGCGCGGGGCAACCUGGCGGCGAGUGGCGAACGGGUGAGUAAUAUAUCGGAACGUACCCAAGAGUGGGGGAUAACGUAGCGAAAGUUACGCUAAUACCGCAUACGAUCUAAGGAUGAAAGCAGGGGAUCUUCGGACCUUGUGCUCCUGGAGCGGCCGAUAUCUGAUUAGCUAGUUGGUGAGGUAAAGGCUCACCAAGGCCACGAUCAGUAGCUGGUCUGAGAGGACGACCAGCCACACUGGAACUGAGACACGGUCCAGACUCCUACGGGAGGCAGCAGUGGGGAAUUUUGGACAAUGGGCGAAAGCCUGAUCCAGCAAUGCCGCGUGAGUGAAGAAGGCCUUCGGGUUGUAAAGCUCUUUUGUCAGGGAAGAAACGGUGAGGGCUAAUAUCCCUCGCUAAUGACGGUACCUGAAGAAUAAGCACCGGCUAACUACGUGCCAGCAGCCGCGGUAAUACGUAGGGUGCAAGCGUUAAUCGGAAUUACUGGGCGUAAAGCGUGCGCAGGCGGUUUUGUAAGUCUGACGUGAAAUCCCCGGGCUCAACCUGGGAAUUGCGUUGGAGACUGCAAGGCUAGAAUCUGGCAGAGGGGGGUAGAAUUCCACGUGUAGCAGUGAAAUGCGUAGAGAUGUGGAGGAACACCGAUGGCGAAGGCAGCCCCCUGGGUCAAGAUUGACGCUCAUGCACGAAAGCGUGGGGAGCAAACAGGAUUAGAUACCCUGGUAGUCCACGCCCUAAACGAUGUCUACUAGUUGUCGGGUUUUAAUUAACUUGGUAACGCAGCUAACGCGUGAAGUAGACCGCCU
rnacentral:rRNA from 1 species